rnacentral:rRNA from 1 species
UACGUAGGGGCCGAGCGUUGUCCGGAUUUAUUGGCGUAAAGAGCGUGUAGGCGGCCGCUUAAGUCCUGCGUGAAAUCUCGGAGCUCAACUCCGAGCGGUCGUGGGAAACUGGGCGGCUAGAGUGCGGGAGAGGAGACUGGAAUUCCUGGUGUAGCGGUGAAAUGCGCAGAUAUCAGGAGGAACACCGAUGGCGAAGGCAGGUCUCGUGG